rnacentral:rRNA from 1 species
GAUGAACGCUGGCGGCGUGCCUAAUACAUGCAAGUCGAGCGAACGGACGAGAAGCUUGCUUCUCUGAUGUUAGCGGCGGACGGGUGAGUAAUACGUGGAUAACCUACCUAUAAGACUGGGAUAACUUCGGGAAACCGGAGCUAAUACCGGAUAAUAUUUUGAACCGCAUGGUUCAAAAGUGAAAGACGGUCUUGCUGUCACUUAUAGAUGGAUCCGCGCUGCAUUAGCUAGUUGGUAAGGUAACGGCUUACCAAGGCAACGAUGCAUAGCCGACCUGAGAGGGUGAUCGGCCACACUGGAACUGUGACACGGUCCAGACUCCUACGGGAGGCAGCAGUAGGGAAUCUUCCGCAAUGGGCGAAAGCCUGACGGAGCAACGCCGCGUGAGUGAUGAAGGUCUUCGGAUCGUAAAACUCUGUUAUUAGGGAAGAACAUAUGUGUAAGUAACUGUGCACAUCUUGACGGUACCUAAUCAGAAAGCCACGGCUAACUACGUG